GGAUGUGAGGGUGAUCUGGCUGUGACAUCUGUCACCCCAUUGGUCACCAUGGUUGAUUCGGCUGAUCUGGCUGGGUAGGCUGGUGUCCCCUUCCUCCCUCACCAUUCCAGGUGUGUCCCUUUCAAAGCUGCAGGCUUGGUCGAAGAGGACGACCUUCCCUGAAUAGAGACGGUCGAGGGAAUCCGAGUAGCUGCGCUCCUCUGCUAGGACCUCCAAACAAGCUCUCAAGGUCCUUGUGUAGGAGAAUAUAGGGUAGACAGGCUUCCAAGACUGCAGAUACAUCCAAAUGAGGCAUGGCAAUGGCAGUGGCAGUCUGUCCUUAAU
rnacentral:snRNA from 1 species